rnacentral:rRNA from 1 species
GUGGGGAAUAUUGCGCAAUGGGGGAAACCCUGACGCAGCAACGCCGUGUGAGUGAUGAAGGCCUUCGGGUCGUAAAACUCUGUCAGGUGGGAAGAAUUUCUGUUUAUAAAUAAUAUACAGAGGUGACGGUACCGCCAAAGGAAGCACCGGCUAACUCCGUGCCAGCAGCCGCGGUAAUACGGAGGGUGCUAGCGUUGUUCGGAAUUAUUGGGCGUAAAGAGCGUGUAGGCGGUCUAAUAAGUCAGAUGUGAAAUACCUUGGCUUAACCAAGGAAGUGCAUCUGAAACUAUUAGUCUUGAGUACUGGAGAGGAGAGUAGAAUUCCCAGUGUAGAGGUGAAAUUCGUAGAUAUUGGGAGGAACACCGGUGGCGAAGGCGGCUCUCUGGACAGAUACUGACGCUGAGACGCGAAAGCGUGGGGAGCAAACAGGAUUAGAAACCCUUGUAGUCC